rnacentral:rRNA from 1 species
CCAAAGUUUGUUUUAUCAAACUUUUCACAGGGUCAUGGCAGCUUAGCGGGAGAAUUAAAAAAAAUCGAUUGAUCCGGCCUUAACUUGGGUUCCGUUUCCCAACUGGAUAUCUUGGGUGCCUGAGAGGAAUGUGAAUUCCUAGAGUACCGUCCCAAAGCGUUGAGAUUAGGAACAAUACCCGUGGCGAAGGCCACUUUCUGGACUGUAACUGACACUGUGGCUCGAAAGCGUGGGUGAUAAAAUUGAUUAGAUACCCUGGUAGUCCUCGCCUUAUGUAUGAAUUCUAGUUGUACGGGUUGUCAUGACCACUGUGCCGCCGCUAACUCUUUAAGUAUUUCGCCUGGGGAUUACGGCCACACGAUUAACUCUCAAAGGAAUUGACGGGGGCCCUCUUAAGCAGCGGAGCAUGUGGCUUAAUUCGAAGCAAUCCGAAGAACCUUACCUUGACUUGAUAUCUCCUGAAUUACCCUUAAUCGGGCAAGCCCUUCGGGGUAGGAAAACAGUUGGGGCAUGGUUGUCGUCAGCUCGUGUCCUGAGAUGAAGGGUAAAGUCUCGCAA